rnacentral:rRNA from 1 species
UACGAAGGGGGCUAGCGUUGCUCGGAAUCACUGGGCGUAAAGCGCACGUAGGCGGUUUGCUAAGUCAGGGGUGAAAUCCUGGAGCUCAACUCCAGAACUGCCUUUGAUACUGGAUGGCUUGAAUCCGGGAGAGGGAUGCGGAAUUCCAGGUGUAGCGGUGAAAUGCGUAGAUAUCUGGAGGAACACCGGUGGCGAAGGCGGCAUCCUGGACCGGCAUUGACGCUGAGGAGCGAAAGCCAGGGGAGCAAACGGG